GACGAACGCUGGCGGCGUGCUUAACACAUGCAAGUCGAACGGAAAGGCCCUGCUUUUGUGGGGUGCUCGAGUGGCGAACGGGUGAGUAACACGUGAGUAACCUGCCCUUGACUUUGGGAUAACUUCAGGAAACUGGGGCUAAUACCGGAUAGGAGCUCCUGCUGCAUGGUGGGGGUUGGAAAGUUUCGGCGGUUGGGGAUGGACUCGCGGCUUAUCAGCUUGUUGGUGGGGUAGUGGCUUACCAAGGCUUUGACGGGUAGCCGGCCUGAGAGGGUGACCGGCCACAUUGGGCCUGAGAUACGGCCCAGACUCCUACGGGAGGCAGCAGUGGAGAAUAUUGCCCAAUGGGCGGAAGCCUGAUGCAGCAACGCCGCGUGCGGGAUGACGGCCUUCGGGUUGUAAACCGCUUUCGCCUGUGACGAAGCGUGAGUGACGGUAAUGGGUAAAGAAGCACCGGCUAACUACGUG
rnacentral:rRNA from 1 species